UUCAAAAUUACAAUUCGCCUUCACGAAAAGAUAAUAUCUCCCACAGAGCGGAAAAAAAGAGAGAAGAAAAUCAGAAAUGCGCGCGCAAAACGGCAAGAAUAAAAAUAUAAUAAUUUAAAGAGUUGUAAUUUUAUACUAAAAAUUCUCUGCUUAUUGCUGAGAACAUUCUCCGACUCCGAGGUCCCAUAGGGUUGUGAUUAUUCACUUCAGGUAUCCCCGGAAAGUUUGACUCUGAAUUUUGGAGUUUCAGAUCUUAUUAGUAAACUGAACGUGCGAGCCCAACUCUGUACUAUUGCAGGGAUUUCUUGGUUGUUCUAUGUUGAAUUUUGGAGUUCCGAUCGGCUUACUUGUAAACUAGAGAGGGAUCUUUUGGAAGUUAGAUAUUGAAUGUUGGAGUUUCAGAUCUGUAAACUGAACAGGCGAGCCCCCAACUCUGCACUAUUGCAAGUAUUCAUGAUGUAUUAAGUUUUAGCUUAUAGAUCUAGAUUUACCUUAUUCAGCUUCAAGUGCUCAUGCCAUUUGGUUGUUCAUUAACAUGAAUAAAUAUAAUCUUUAUAUGCGAUUUUUGUUUUAUGAAGAAAGUCGAUUGAGUUUUAUAGUUGACUGGAGAUCAACUUACAAAAAUGGAAACAAUGAAGAGCUCUUGAAGUCGAGCAUUAGGUAACAUUUGGUACAGAUUAUUGAUUCCCUUGUGGCAUUAAAUUGUCAGCAUGUGACCAAGUGUGAAUUCUUUUCUUUUGAAUCCUAGUUACAUAAAUGACCCUGCUUAAUUUGCAUGUACUAUCACUUAGAAAAUAGAGUGAAGGAGCAGAGUUGCAAGUAAAAUGAAUUAAAAAGUUGUAUUAGAUGGGGGCAUUCCGAGAAUCGAACUCGGGACCUCUCGCACCCAAAGCGAGAAUCAUACCACUAGACCAAAUGCCCAGCUCUUGUUGGUCCCUCAGUGGUAAUAAUAUUUUGAAGUUGAUAUUGGUUGUCUGGAGCUUGUACCAUUGUAUGCAAUAAUUUUCUAGGUGAAAUAAGCAUUCUCCAUUGUUUGAGCCUUUGAAAAGUUAAAUCAUUUUAGAGUGAAUAAAAACUUAUAUAAAAUUAAGGGGCAUUCCGAGAAUUAAACUCGGGACCUCUCGCACCCAAAGCGAGAAUCAUACCACUAGACCAAAUGCCCAUCGAUGACAUUGUCUUCUUUGAAUUUUAGUCAAAUGUAUUUUAGCUUUUCAGCUAUUUGAUCACACAACUGUAUUGCUUACUGUAAUAUAGAAUUCAAAUAAUCUGUAUUUUACACCAUAUGAUCUUCAUUUUCUUGCUUAAAUGUUCUUGAGUACUUAAUUAUCAAAAAAAUGUUCUUUGAGUACAUGUUAUUUGGAUGUGAGGUGUAUAUAGAAGGUUGCUUAAAAUAAUAUGCCUCUGCAGUUCCUCAGAUUACUUCUCUCAAUGCCUAUAGAUGCUAUCAGCUUUGGUUGUUACUAUCACUUCUAUAUUUACAAUCCUAUGCAAGCAUACUCAACCCUUUGGUCGUCUGGAAUGCAAAAGACGUGAGAUCUGUGUAGUGAUUAAGAACUGUCAUUCGACAUGAGGCCAGGUCUCCGGUGUUAGCUGAAUUAACAUUUCGUGUUUGAGCUUCAUCUUUCUAGUUAUAGCUGAAGCAAAGAAAAUCUCCAACUAAGGAUUAUCGAAUUGAUAGUUAACCAUGUGCUUUUUUCUGGGUUAUCUUACUUCCUGUUCUCUUUUGGAUACCUUCUUUGUUAAGCUAUAUCAUUAUCACUUGUUUCAUGGAAUGGUGCAGCUCAUGUUAUGCGAUUUUGGGUGCAAAGCAACAUGGUACAAUGAAGUUCAUGCUUUUUUGUUUCACUCAAGUGAAAUGAAAAUGGCUCAUGAACUGUGGAUAUCCGUUUCAUUUCUUAUUUUGACUUGAAAUUAAGAAAGCUUCCUUGAUUAAUGAUCUCAGUUGUUAUUGUUUACUUCCUUGACCUGUAAAUGACCUUGUAUCUAUAAUGAUUCUUCGAUGUUACGACAAUUCCAUGUACCAACUUCAUUAAGCAUAUUUGAAAUGAUGGCUUGUUAUAUUUGAGAUACUCGAGAACUUUUCUGUCCAACAUUACAUAUUUAGGGAUCUUUUGGGAGUUAGAUGUUGAACGUUGGAGUUUUAGAUCUUUAAACUGAACAGGCGAACCCAACUCUGCACCAUUGCAAGUAUUCAUGAUGUAUUAAUUUAAUUGUUAGCUUAUAGAUCUAGAUUUACUCUUAUAUUCAGCUUCAAGUGCUCAUUCCAUUACAUGAAUUAAAAAGAAUCUUUACCUGCAAACUUUGUUUUAUGAAGACAGUCGAUUGAGUUUUGUAGUUGACUGGAGAUCAGCUUACAAAAAUGGUAACAAUGAAGAGCUCUUGAAGUCAAGCAUUAGAAUAUUGAUUUCCCUGUGGCAUUAAAUUGUCAGCAUGUGAACAGAACAUCAAUCUCAAUGCUGAUUCUUUUUACAAAAUACUAAGAAUCUUUCACCGAUGAAUCAUACGACUAGACUAAGUAUCCACUGUUUAUGUUCCCUGUAGACAAUCUUGCAAUAAGGUCAACACUAAGUCAUCCAAGAUGACAAAGUGAGGUUGUGUGCUAGUUGAAAUUAUCUGCUUCCUUUGUUAACAACUUGGAGGGUACAUUAUAGCAUUUGUAUGAUAACUCUGAGACUGCAGAAAAGACACUAUGAAGUGUGUUUUCUUGUAUCUCUAGUCAAUUGAGCUAGGUUAGCCAUUUAUGGUCUACUUAAUUUUGCAUGUGAAAAAAGUUGUAUUUGAUGUUGGGGCAUUCCGAGAAUUGAACUCGGGACCUCUCGCACCCAAAGCGAGAAUCAUACCACUAGACCAAAUGCCCUGUUUUUGAUAUUAUCAUCUUUUAAGUUAUACUCAAAAUGUAUUUUCCUGUUGUGAGUUAUGUGAUCAGAAUUGUCAUUUCUCAUCUGCAAAUAUAGAAUUCUGAUACUCCUUAGUCCUUACCUCAUGUAACCAGAUUUUAAUUUAUAAGUUUGAACCUCAGUAAACAUAUAUAAAUGGAUGCUGAUUGUUUUACAAAAUA